GUGACAUCACAAAGGCCUGUGACAGGACCUCAGCCUAUUGGGGGACAGUCGUGGGGAGGUGGUGACCUCAUAAAGCAACCCUGACACAGCCAGGCAAGGCUGGGGCAGCCUCAGAGACUCGCGUGGCUUUGCAGCUACAAGGCUCCAUCUCCAGGUCUGUCCUUGGGGACGGACAGAGAACUAGGGUUCAUGUAGCUUCUUUUUCCCCUUUUCUAUUCCUUCCUGCCUCCAUCAAAGAGAGGUAGAGAGGUCCAGAGUGCCCCAGGGGAGAGCCAAGGCUAUAAGGAGUCACAGAGCACUCUUCUGAUUCACCAUCCCCCUCCCUGAAUUAGAUGUAAGUGACCUCUCACCCCGGCUUCCUGACUCCAGACAGAAGCAGGCUGGCUUGGAUAGGCUGUAGGACCUGCAGCUGCAGGGGUUAUGGGUUGGGAGUGUUACCUUUGGGAAGGCAGAGUCAGAGCAGGGAGGGAGACAGACUUGGGUUAAGUUCCUCUUUUCCUGGUUCAGUGGAGACCCUGGGACUUUAAAAGGACCAUGUUCCAACCCCUGCUCCAGCCAAGUUAAUUCCUGGUCUUGGGUCCCUUCUUGUCCUCCUGGAGCAUCUGGGGGUACAAGUCCUCAUGGAGGGCCCUGCCCACCGUUUGCUCCAGAGUCCCUUGGGGGCAGAAGGAGCUGAGGGUCUAGCUCCUUUCCCCCGUGUCUCCCGCAGAGGGACUUGGGGGAGAGAGACUCCUGGCCCAGGGGAGAUUGGGAGCUGGUAGGAGAAGCUGAUGGAGCUUCCACCCCUCCCUUCCAUUAGAACUCAGCACAGUUCCCCAAACUAGGGAACGUGGUGGCUUAGCUGUGAUUGUCCAUCAGUGACCCAGCCAAGGACAUUGGCUGGCUGACCAGGGAGGGCAUUUAUCGGCUACACCAGUUUACAGAGGUAAGGAAACCCAGCUGGGAAAUGGGACCCAAUAGAAAAGUGAUGCUGACAGAAGCCAGGUAAUGGCUGAAGAA